rnacentral:rRNA from 1 species
AGAGUUUGAUCCUGGCUCAAAACGAACGCUGGCGGCGUGGAUAAGACAUGCAAGUCGAACGCUGGAUUGUGUGUAGCAAUACUCGCAGUCCGGAGUGGCGUAGGGGUGCGUAACACGUGGGUAAUUUGCCUGGAAGCCCGGGAUAACUCCGAGAAAUCGGAGCUAAUACCGGAUGUGAUCAACGGCUGGCAUCAGUUGUUGCUCAAAGUCGGGGACCGCAAGGCCUGACACUUCCAGAUAAGCCCGCGGCCUAUCAGCUAGUUGGCGGGGUAACGGCCCACCAAGGCUAAGACGGGUAGCUGGUCUGAGAGGACGACCACCCACACUGGAACUGAGACACGGUCCAGACACCUACGGGUGGCAGCAGUCGAUAAUUUUUCACAAUGGGGGAAACCCUGAUGGAGCGACGCCGCGUGGGGGAUGAAUGGCUUCGGCCCGUAAACCCCUGUCAUUUGCGAACAAACCUGGUGGUUGAACAGACUGCCAGCUGAUAGUAACAGAAGAGGAAGGGACGGCUAACUCUGUGCCAGCAGCCGCGGUAAUACAGAGGUCCCAAGCGUUGUUCGGAUUCACUGGGCGUAAAGGGUGCGUAGGCGGUGGGGGUAAGUUUGAGGUGAAAUCUCCGGGCUCAACCCGGACAAGCCUUGAAUACUAUCCUGCUAGAGGGAUCGGGAAGGGGAGACUGUAAUUCUCGGUUGUAGCAGUGAAAUGCGUAGAUAUCGAGAGGAACACCAGUGGCGAAAGGCGAUUCUCUGGACGAUACCUGACGCUGAGGCACGAAGCGAGGGGCAGCAACGGGAUUAGAUACCCCCGGGUAGUCGUGCCACUAAACGGUGCGCACUUUGGCGUGUGGAGGCGGAAUUCCAACGCGCCGGUGAGGAGCAAACCCGAUAGUGCCGCCUGGAGGGAAACUCACGGUCGCAUGAUACAACUCGAAAGGAAAUUGGACGGGGCCUGGCACAAAAC